rnacentral:lncRNA from 1 species
AACGAGCAGCAGAGCCGCCCAGCAGCAACCACAUUAGGAAGGAAUCGGAAACCAACGCUCCGCUGGCUGUCACCCCUUACCCACUUGCUGUCAGACAAAAUAUUACUCUGUCACCCAGACUGGAGUCCAGUGGUGUGAUCUCAGCUCACUGCAACCUCCGCCCCCUCAAGUCCAAGCCACUCUCAUGCCUCAGUCUCCUGAGUAGCUGGGAUUACAGGCACCCACCACCACGUCUGGCUAAUUUUUGUAUUUUUAGUAGAGACAGGGUUUUGCCAUCUUGGCCAGCCUGGUCUCGAACUCCUGGCCUCAAGUGAUCUGUCCACCUCAGCCUCCCAAAGUGCUGGGAUUACAGAUGUGAGCCACCACACCUGGCCUAAAAUGUCAUAUAUUUUGAACUGACUGACUUCUCCAAAAACUUAUGGUUAUUAGUUGAGAGAGAAAACUUGAGAGAAAGUUUCCCUGCACUUGGAUGAGAGGAGAGCGGAACAGCCUGCAUCUCUGGUGCUGGGGAGUAUCAAAUAAGGGGAAUUGGGAGAAGGAUGGAGGCAACAGCGUAGCUCUUUGCCUUUCAAAAUUAAAAUGGGAUGCUGCUUUAUAUUACAAAUCUAAGGAAUUAGAAGAGCAGCAAACUAAGCAACUAAGUUUGUUCUCCUUGCAUAAACUUUAAAAAGCCAGCUUAAAAGUUCUCAAGCUUAAAAUUCGAAAAAUGAAAACAAAUGCAUGGCAUGACAGAGGGGAUAAUUCCUGCACUUUUGGAAAUGUUCUCAUGUUUUCUUCAUUUCAUCCUAUGAAUGAAAAUGCCGUCAAAGGGGAAUAAGGCUAUUCGCAGAGUGCUCAUCACCACGGUGUCCAAACAGUGUCAUCCGGUGUCCUGACAUGCGGCCCCAAUGGACUGAUCCAGGGUGGAAAGGAAGAGUGAGAAGAAAUCAGACAGAAGAAUUCAGGAGAUGUGGCAACAGAGUGGAUGUAGCAGAAGGGACAUAGAGAGUGCCUAAAGAUGAGUCUUUGGUCAGCAUGUGAUGAAAAGAAUGAAGACACUGGGGAAGUGGGGAGCAGAAGCGGAUGUGGGCCCAGGAGGAAGAAGAAUUUGGGACCUGGGAGUUUGGGAGAAAAGCAAAGAAGGCCUGGGGUUGAGUGAGACACAGGGUCCCAGCCAGCAGCUAGAACACGAGGAGAAAAGAAGAAAGGACUCACUGAAAGGGAAUUGCUGAAGAGGACCUUUAUAUCUGAGGGCUUUACUUUGUGCUUUGUAAUUUCCCUUUGUCAUCCUCAUCUUUUAGGAAACUGAUUAACCACUAUAAUUUACGUCGUAUUAGCAACGCCUUAGAGAAUGAAGGAGGAACUGUACUUAUUCUUGGAGCGUAGCCUGGAGAGAGGCAGAAGCCUUCAGGAGCUGUUACUAGGUAGUAGGAAAUCACUCUCUCUAGAGUCCUCUGAAACAGUCUGGAAGAGAAUGGAUUUCCUGCUGUUGUGCAGGAUGAGGGUUUGAGUACAGUAAUUUAAUUUACUUAUUUAAAAAAUACUGGAAGAUGGGGAGGGAGGAUGGGUCAGAUUAUAAUAUGUUCAUAUGUCUAAGGCAGGAAAUUAGAUACAAGAUGAAAUCUAAGAAAGUUCUGUGAUUGGGUUUCUCCCACAGAAGGAGGAGAAAAUCCCUGCAUCUCUGGUUAUGCAAAUAAUAUGCAAAUUACAGUGAUUACAUACUUGCUUAGAAAAUUUUGAUUACCUCAUUUUGACUUCAGGCAGAGUUGGGACACCAAAAGGGAAUGUUUGUCAACAGUCCAGAGUUGUUAGAUUUCUUCCAGGGGAAAUGAAAGGGUAAAUUUCUUACCAAACACAAGGGUUUUAAAUAAGUUUUUCAAACUCCUUAAUGUCUCCCUUCCACAAAGCAUACCAAAAAAAAAAAAAAAUUACAAUAGAGUCAAAAUGUGAUCUGUAGACAAAAUGAAGGACAAAUGGUUUUCCCCCCUAAAUUUUACUCCAGGGUACAUUUUCUCCUCUUUCUUUGUCGAACAAUGUGAAGUAAGGGCUUGGAUUUUGUCCUGCAGAUGGUUUUGCAAUCAGUUCUAGCCAUUUCUCUAAGUCUGGGCUUCAAAUCUGUCAGUUGAGAGUGAUACAGUUGCCUGUCCCAUGGUGGUGUUAAGUGAGGCUGAGAGCAUCAAACAAAUGUCCCAGCUCCUGCCACAGUUGCAUCCUUGACACGUUCCAGUGGUGCCCGAGCAACACUGCAAAGACCCCCUGGGAUGUCUGUUGGCAAGAAAAGGUGGAGCCACUGCCCUGGGGGGCUGGGAAGGGAGUUAGAGAACUACUGUCUUAACCUAAAAUUUGGGCAGAAUCUGCCUUGGAUCAAAUUUAAAAUCUUUUCUGAAUAUUAGCUGACUUGAUUAGAAACUAGUUGUCUCUCCCCUUCUCAGCAGAAGACUGUGGAAUGUGUCUCCUAGCAACAGAGAUGUGUUACUAUCUUAUGGUAGGACUGUUUUAUAAAGCAGCAAUCUCCAACCUUUUUGGCACCAGAGACCAGUUUCAUGGAAGAUGAUUUCUCCACAGACAGGGAAGUGGGGGGAUGGUUUCAGGAUGACUCAUGCGCAUUACAUUUAUUGUGUACUUUAUUUCUAUUAUUAUUACAUUGUAAUAUAUAAUGAAAUAAUUAUACAACUCACCAUAAUGUAGAAUCAGUGGAACCCCUGAGCUUGUUUUCCUGCAACUAGAUGGUUCUAUCUGGGGGGUGAUGGGAGACACUGACAGAUGAUCAGGCAUUAGAUUCUCAUAAGAAGUGCACAACCUAGAUCCCUCACAUGUGCAGUUUACAGUACGGUUCACGCUCUUUUGAGAAUCUUAUGCUGCUGCUGAGGUGGAAGGUGGAGGUGGAGGUCGAAGGUGGAGGUGGAGCUCAGGCAGUAAUGUGAGCAAUGGGGAAUGGCUGUAAAUACAGAUGAAGCUUCACUCACUUGCCUGCCACUCAAAACAGGCCACAGACCAGUACCGUGUAGAAGUACCAAUCUGUAGCCUGGGGGUUGAGGACCGCAGCUAUAAAGGACACUCAUUCUGCUGUCCGCACUUCUCCCAAUAACUACCAGGAAAGGGUCACAGUCAGAAUGAAUUUAGCCAUUCACCUUCAGUACCAAUGCAUUGUCCUAAAGAGGUAACAGUUCCACUGGCUUCAAAUCUUUUGUAUCAUUUGUGUCUUCCUUCCCUCUCUUCUCUUCCUCUCUCAUUCACACUUUUCUCUUCUUUCUCCCCAAUCUCUCAACUCCUUUCCUUCCUUGCUUCCCUGACCACUACCUUUUCAACAUCUGUCUUUUGACCUUUCCCUUUCCCUUCUUUAUUCCUAUCCCUGCCACCAUCCUGUGUAAAGUGCUAUCAGUUCUACUCCAUUCUUCCCUCUACCUCUGCCCUUAACCCUAGUUCCAGGUCCAGGUAGUUCCUUACCCCACCCUCUGGACAAGGCUGCUUCUGGGCUAUAAUCUCUUUUCAAGAUAUUUUAUCCUACAUGCAGCUGCCAAGUUAUUUCCCCUACAACAGCAAUCUAUUCAUAACACAGCCCUGCUCAAAAACCUUUAAGGGUUUACAUUUCCUAUGGAGUAAAAACCAAGUCGUAAGCCUCAUGUUCCAGAGCCAAGACAGUAUGGUUCUAUUCAUCUUUUGCAGCCUGGGCAUGCUCUGGUUUUCUUUAGACAUGCACUGUUCCUGUCAAAAUGCCUCUUAUCCACCUGGGUCUCUUCUCCAGCUGUUUCCUCUGCCUAAAGUUCCCUCACCCCAAUUCCUCCAUCUCUGCACAUCUAAAACCACUAGGGCUACCUCAAGCUUAGCCUGUUCUGUGCAACCUUUCCUGAUAUCUCUACCUAAUCCUUCUUCUGAACCCCUAUAGAACUUAUCCCCAUAAUGAGGUCACCCUAACAACAAUCAACCAGGUGCUGCCAGCUCUGUCCCACACAUCAAUAUGACCUUCAGCCCCUGCCUAAGUUCCAUUGUAGAAGUGUCUCUAGAAGUUCCCAGGGUGCCUCACAUGUACUCCCUGAAUAAGGACACUUCUUUCAGGUCUUGCCAGUGCUCUGCCAUCUUCCCCCAAGCAUCUGCUGGGCACCAUUGCUCCUGACACAGCUAGGGAGCUCCUACCACGUCAAGGUUUACAGUGUUCUGGAGUAAGUUGCAGAAUGAACCUGCAACUCCUCCUUACUGAGGAGUCAGAGUCCACUCUAUCAGGGAGAUCUCAAAAGAAUGUUGUUGAUGCUCUAAUGGUCUUUGAGGUACUGUAAAACAGUUCUUUCUGCUUAUUCCCCCAAGCCCCAUCCCUAUGGAGCCAUAGGAUUCCAAUGUUAGGUAAAUGUGACAGAGCAUUGUGCUUUACUUGGAAUUGACCCUUCUGCCCAAAAUGCUGCAUUCUUACUGAGUCAGGUAUGUUAUACCUGCUCUGUCUUCACACAUGGCCUUCGUCAGCCCCUAAUAUAAGUAAAUGAGGGGCUGGACUGCCUAUAUAUUUUCUAGAAAAUGUAGUCUUAAUGAGUCACUGUUAUGGUUGGAAAUGUAUCCUAUCCCUCAAGUAUGCUGGGGAAGAAAAGUGGUUAAGACAUACUAGAUUCUAUGAUACUCCAGAACUGCACUGCUCAACACAGUGGCUACUGGCCACAUGAGGCUAUAGAGCACUUGAAAUUUAGCUACUCCCAACUGAGAGGUGCUAUGAGUAUAAAAUUCAUAUCAGGUUUCAAAGACUUACUCCUCCAAAAAAGGGUGUAAAAUAAGUCAUUAAUAACUUUUGUAACGUUGACUACAUGUUGAAAUAAUACUUUGUAUUAGGUCAAAUAACAUGCCAUUAAAAUGGAUUUCACCUCUUCUUACUUUCUUAGUAUGGUUUCUAGAAAACUUAAAAUUACAUACAUGGUUUGCAUUUGUGGCACACCUUAUAUUUCUAUUGCACAGUGCUGCUCUAGAGCAGCUCUCUAGAGCACUUGUUAGAAAUGCAAACCCUUGGGCCCCAGCUCAGACCUACUGAGUCAGAAACUCCAGUAGGGCCCAGCAAUCUGUGGCAAACAAGUUCUCCAGCUAGUCCUGGCUCACACUGACAUUAAGCUCUCCACCAAGAAGGUAAGCUCUAAAGCACUGAAAAUAAGAUCCAGAGCAUAACGGGAUCUCAAUAAGUUUUGUUAAAUGAUUUAAUCUUGAUGGUUCCUGUUAAGCUCAAAAUUAUUCUGUCCAUCAGUCAGUCAGUGAGAGAGAAAGUAAACAACAAACUUCGUCCCCAACCUUGGAAGAACAGCUCGCUGGUAACUUCAAAAGUUGCCACUAACAGCCGGGGAGAAUUGCAAGUCAUUAUCAGAACACCUUUAAAAAUUCUCAAUAGAAAUGUAUGAAUACAAUGGCUGUGCCAGAAGCAAGAGAUAGUCAGACAUGAAGAAAGUAUAAAGAAAAAUAAAAACAUGCUAAGUUAUAAAACUGGUCUGGGUGCGAAGCCAGGCUGGCUGAUGCUUUGCAAUGGAGUAGCUCUGAAGCUGCCUCUUCCAGUGCCUGUGCCCUACUGGACAAAGAUAGCCACAGCCUCAGUCCCUCUUUUGGUACAGAUACCAAAAGGUCUUGAUCAACUGGGACUUCACCGAUACAGCCCUCAAGAGCCUGCAGUCCUUGCAUAUCUCAACUUUACCCCUUCAAGCAUUCUGAAAUUCACCUCAAGUUUCCAUUCCUUGUGACAUGUGCCAUUAUCAAGAUUCAUUAGUUCGUGACCGUGCUUGAAGAGCACACCACAAAAUAUGCCAUGCACACGACAAAGCAUGUCCUCUUUAAGAAUGAGUGAGAAGUGUAUGGAACAGAAUCAAAACUGUCAGAGUGGCCUUGCUUUGAGCACUCCCUAAGUGAAAUAAUGUUCUCCAAACAGCAGUCUCCUGGAAACUGAUAACCAUGUUUAACAUACUUAGUGGCAUUAAAACUAUCAUCCAUGUACUUAUUUUUUGCCUUUUUAAAAACUGACAUAUAAUAUUUUACAUAUUUAUGGGGUACAUGUGAUAUUUUGUUACGUGGAUCAAAUCAGUUUUGGGGGUGUCCAUCCCUUGAGUAUUUAUCAUCUCUGUGUUGGGAACAUUUCAAGUCAUAGCUACUUUGAAAUAUCAUGCAUUUAUUAAAAGUAAUUCAUGCACAUUGUAAAACAAGAUUAAACAAGGCAGAAAUGGAUAAAGUAAAAAAGUUCUCUUCUCUGACUCAGUCCCAAUCCCUAGACUAUUCUAGAUUUUUAAAAUGUAGAUAUUAAUAGAAAUACAAAUAGAUAUUUUUUUUUAAAUGAGAUCAUAUGUGCAUUCAAUUUUGUAACCUGCCUGUCUCACUUGCUCGUAUGUCGUGGACAACUUUCAGUGUUGUUUAUGUAGAUUUACCUCUUUCCAUUUGAUGUUUGCACAGUGUUCUACUGCAUGGAUAGUUUAUUUAACCACACAUUCAUCUAACAGUAGUACCCAAAACAUAGAAAGCUCUCAAUAAAUACUGGCUCUUAUGUAUAAUCAUAGAAAUGUUUUUAUAUUUCCUUAUUUAUACUUCCUCACUCCUAAAAUGUAUUAUACUUUUUUUAAUGUACAAAUUCCCAGACAUGUAUAUUUUAUAAAGGAUAAACACUAGCUUUUACUCUAGCUUUUAUUUAUCAAUUCUACACUUCAGUUUUCUUUCUGUCUUUAUUACUAUGUUCUAUUUCUUUGAGUUAAUUUUAUCUUUUUGUUUGUUUUUUUGGAGACAGAGUCUUGCUCUGUCACCCAGGCUGGAGUGCAGUGGCACAAUCUCGGCUCACUGCAACCUCAACCUCCCAGGUUCAAGUGAUUCUCCUGCCUCAGCCUCCCGAGUAGCUGGGAUUACAGGCAUGUGCCAUCAUGCCCAACUAAUUUUUGUAUUUUUAGUUGAGACAGGAUUUCACCAUGUUGGCCCGGGUGGUCUUGAACUCCUGACUUCAAGUGAUCUGCCUGCCUCAGCCUCCCAAAGUGCUGGGAUUACAGGCAUGAGCCACCACACCCAGCCUAAUUUUGAUCCUCUUCUUCUAGCUUCUAGAGUUGAAUAUGUAACUAUGUUUAUUUUAUUCUCCUGUUUUCUAAAAAGGUAUUUUAAAGUCAUCUGAGGGAACUAUUUUAACAUGCCUUUGUCUGUACCCGCUU